CUAAAAAGGCAGCAGAUAGGGUUUUAAAGAAAACAAAGAUGCGGUUUCAAAUGAAAGUACUAGGUUCAGACCUAUGCCAAAACUUGCCGGAUGGGGAUUACUUCAACCUGGACCCGACACUGGGCGAUCCGCAAUGUACUUUCAUCCGUUGUUCAAUGCGUUCAUCCUUUCUGUGGGCCUGUCCCCGCGGGACGUAUAACGGUCCGCGAAGCAGCUUCCUGUCGAGACCCUUGGGCAUGCGCUUCUGUAAAGAGCACGACCGCGGAUACUGCAUGGAAUGACGUCACUGAUAGAAGUGACGUCAUGGACUGGGUGGCGUCACAAAAGCUAGGAUUAGGCUUGUGGCGGGGAUCACAGAUAACGUGGACCAGAAGCGAUCAUGAUUAUUUAACAAAAUGCAAAGUAGGGAAUGGAAGGAAGAAUACUGAUACAUAAUCUGAAUUGGAUUUAAGACGGUGAUGGGCAGGUCGGGAUGAAAUAGAGUGACACAGACAUAGAAUGAUAAUAAUUGAAGAAAUAUAUCCCAAAUCAACUAUACAAUAUAGCUGAAUAUUAUUCGCAGACUUGUUAAUUUUUUAACAGCGCCAUAGAAUUUAGAGUGCACGUGUUCUUAUUUUCAAAUAAAUCUACACUGACUUCAAA